rnacentral:lncRNA from 1 species
CCACAGCUUUGAAGUUGUCAGCCAGUGACCACUGUUGCCCGGUCUCACGAGGGAAUCGCGUGCAAGCAGGCAGCCAGAGUCAGAGUGGAGUCAGCAGUAAAGACGCUGAGUCAAGCAGGCCAGAGCAGCCAAGCUUCCGAGCUUCGCUCCCACUACAGAGGGCCAUCCCAUUCGGCAGAGCACCCCUCAGAGGCAGUUGGAGGCUGUGGGGCUCAAGACGACAACAUGGGGAGACCAGCUGAAGCUCUGCUACACCCACUCCAAUUGACUGACUGGGAAAGCGUCAACAAGGCCAGCACCUCUGGCAGGAGCUACAGCCUUCGGCUUUUCCCAAGGAGCUUUUCAGGUUUACAGAAGUGUCGCCCAGAGCAUACAGAGAAAUCCCAGGAUUCUCCUGGUGCUGGUUUUCACACACACCGCCAUCUUGCCUUGGUGCUGCGGACGGCUGCACUGGAUGAUAGGCAGGGCUCAGGGUCUACUCCAGGCUCCGUCUUCAGGAGUCUGCUGGGGACUUCCCAAGACCUACAAGGUGCUCUGUGAGACGCCUCAGAAACCCUGCUGCUGUCUGAAGGGUUCAUGAGGCAACUUGAAGUCUGUGUUGAGCCCCCUCCCCUUGUCUUGUU